GCAGAGGAGCCCAGCCCUGCAUUCCCUGUGUUCCCAUUCAGUGACCAGCACUGAACAGACUCACCAUGGAGCUGGAGCUGAGCUGGCUUUUCCUUGUUGUGCUUUUAAAAGGUGUCCAGUGUGAGGUGCAGCUGGUGGAGUCUGGGGGAGGCUUGGUACAGCCUGGAGGAUCCCUGACCCUCUCCUGUGCAGCCUCUGGAUUCACCUUCAGUAACUAUGGCAUUAACUGGGUCCGCCAGGCUCCAGGGAAGGGGCUGGAGUGGGUGGCAGUUAUAUGGUAUGAUGGAAGUCAGAAACAUUAUGUAGACUCCGUGAAGGGCCGAUUCACCAUCUCCAGAGACAAUUCCAAGAACACUUUGUCCCUGCAAAUGAACAGUCUGAAAGUGGAAGACACAGGCACCUAUUACUGUUCAGCAGGACACAGUGACAUAAUGAUACCAUGAGCUCCAACAAAAAGUUCUUUAAGUGUGCUCACAGCCAGCAGGGGCGCUCAAGGCACAAGACCUCUGAGAGCAGAAGCCCAGGAUGUGACCGGCAGGGCGGCCGUGUGUUGUCUCUUCAUAUCACAGAACAGCUCCUCUCUACAGGGAGGGCGUGAGCUAAUCUUUAAAGUCUCCAAAUAG